UCCUUAUCAGCUGGAAUAGGUUGCAAGCGAAGCUAGUAAUCAACCAAAGUUGCCUGCCUUCUUUACUUCAAAAAUUCCACACCUGCUAUUCUAGAAAAGUGCUCAACUGACCAGGUAAUAUCUAAAGGUGAGACACCAUUGAUGGAAGGCAGCGUCAGUGAGAGUGGUAAUUCUUCUAGAGUAAGGGGUUCUGGUUGAUGAGAUUGAUAAGGGGGAAUUAUGGUUGGUUUUGAAUCCAGCAAUUACUUUGCAGCGAAUAUGCUAACAUUUCUAUUUUUGUAAAAAGUUUCAGUUUGACAUGGAAUUCUUCUUCACAGGAGUUAAGGCUGGAAUGUUUGUAAGAGAUGCUAAGGUUCUUUGUCCUAAACUUGUCAUUCUUUCUUAUGACUUUGAAGCUUAUGAGGAGGUGGCUGACAAGUUUUAUGACAUUUUGCAUAAGCACUGCAAGAAAGUGCAGGCCGUCAGUUGUGAUGAAGCAUUUUUAGACGCCACUGACUCAGGGGUGGAUGACAUUCAAGCAUUUGUCAGACUGAUCAGGAAGGAAAUUGUUGAGAUAACAGGAUGCACUGCAAGUGCCGGUAUUGCUGGAAAUAUGCUUAUGGCCCGUCUUGCUACCCAAACUGCAAAACCUGAUGGACAAUGUUGUAUCCCUCCUGAGUAGCUAAAGUUACGGAGUAUUCGCAUCCUCAACCAAAAG